UGGGAUGACGUCAAAUCAUCAUGCCCCUUAUGUUCUGGGCUACACACGUGCUACAAUGGCCGGUACAGACGGAGGCGAAGCCGCGAGGCGGAGCAAAUCCGAAAAAGCCGGUCUCAGUUCGGAUUGCAGGCUGCAAUUCGCCUGCAUGAAGUCGGAAUCGCUAGUAAUCGCAGGUCAGCAUACUGCGGUGAAUACGUUCCCGGGCCUU
rnacentral:rRNA from 1 species